GUAAAAAGACCAGCGGCUAAAAACUAGAGCGUCCUGCUCAAACGCCGCUGUCACCGCAUCCUGCGGA
rnacentral:sRNA from 1 species